GUCCACGCUGUAAACGAUGGGUGCUAGGCGUCGGGGGCGAGCGACCCCUUCCAGUGCCGUCGCUAACGCAAUAAGCACCCCGCCUGGGGAGUACGGUCGCAAGACUGAAACUCAAAGGAAUUGACGGGGGCCCGCACAAGCGGUGGAGCAUGUGGUUUAAUUCGAAGCAACGCGAAGAACCUUACCUGGGCUUGACAUGCACGGGAAAGCCGGUGGAAACAUCGGCCCCUCUUCGGAGUCCGUGCACAGGUGCUGCAUGGCUGUCGU
rnacentral:rRNA from 1 species